UGCAUUUACUACUGUAAGUCGCUCUGGAUAAGAGCUUCUGCUAAAUGACUAAAA
rfam:Salmo salar isolate Sally breed double haploid chromosome ssa06, whole genome shotgun sequence.